rnacentral:misc_RNA from 12 species
AUUCUCUCUCUUUCUCUCUCUCUCUCUCUCUCUUUCUCUUUUUUAGCUCUGGCUUCGAACAAAGAUUUCAAAUAGAUUAAUGAUGCAUUAAGAGAGGAAGGAGGCGAGAGAGAGAGAGAGAGAGAGAGAAAG